rnacentral:rRNA from 1 species
AUUGAACGCUGGCGGCAUGCCUUACACAUGCAAGUCGAACGGUAACAGGUCUUCGGAUGCUGACGAGUGGCGAACGGGUGAGUAAUAUAUCGGAACGUGCCCGAUCGUGGGGGAUAACGAGGCGAAAGCUUUGCUAAUACCGCAUACGAUCUACGGAUGAAAGCGGGGGAUCUUCGGACCUCGCGCGGACGGAGCGGCCGAUGGCAGAUUAGGUAGUUGGUGGGAUAAAAGCUUACCAAGCCGACGAUCUGUAGCUGGUCUGAGAGGAUGAUCAGCCACACUGGGACUGAGACACGGCCCAGACUCCUACGGGAGGCAGCAGUGGGGAAUUUUGGACAAUGGGCGAAAGCCUGAUCCAGCCAUGCCGCGUGCAGGAUGAAGGCCUUCGGGUUGUAAACUGCUUUUGUACGGAACGAAAAGCCUCUUUCUAAUAAAGAGGGGUCAUGACGGUACCGUAAGAAUAAGCACCGGCUAACUACGUG